GAUGAAGAACGUAGCAAAAUGCGAUAAGUAAUGUGAAUUGCAGAAUUCAGUGAAUCAUCGAAUCUUUGAACGCACAUUGCGCCCGCUGGUAUUCCGGCGGGCAUGCCUGUUCGAGCGUCAUUUCAACCCUCAAGCCCCCGGGUUUGGUGUUGGGGAUCGGCUCUGCCCUUCUGGGCGGUGCCGCCCCCGAAAUACAUUGGCGGUCUCGCUGCAGCCUCCAUUGCGUAGUAGCUAACACCUCGCAACUGGAACGCGGCGCGGCCAUGCCGUAAAACCCCAACUUCUGAAUGUUGACCUCGGAUCAGGUAGGAAUACCCGCUGAACUUAAGCAUAUCAAAGCGGAGGA
rnacentral:misc_RNA from 1 species